rnacentral:rRNA from 1 species
GACGAACGCUGGCGGCAGGCCUAACACAUGCAAGUCGAGCGCCCAGCAAUGGGAGCGGCAGACGGGUGAGUAACGCGUGGGAACCUUCCCAAUGGUACGGAAUAGCUCAGGGAAACUUGAGGUAAUACCGCAUACGCCCGAAAGGGGAAAGAUUUAUCGCCGUUGGAUGGGCCCGCGUAGGAUUAGCUAGUUGGUGAGGUAAUGGCUCACCAAGGCGACGAUCCUUAGCUGGUUUGAGAGAAUGACCAGCCACACUGGGACUGAGACACGGCCCAGACUCCUACGGGAGGCAGCAGUGGGGAAUCUUGGACAAUGGGCGCAAGCCUGAUCCAGCCAUGCCGCGUGAGUGACGAAGGUCUUCGGAUUGUAAAGCUCUUUUGCCAGGGACGAUAAUGACGGUACCUGGAGAAUAAG